GGGGGUACGUAUCGGAUAUUGGGCGUAAGGGCUCGCAGGCGGUUUCUUAAGUCUGAUGUGAAAGCCCCCGGCUCAACCGGGGAGGGUCAUUGGAAACUGGGGAACUUGAGUGCAGAAGAGGAAAGUGGAAUUCCACGUGUAGCGGUGAAAUGCGUAGAGAUGUGGAGGAACACCAGUGGCGAAGGCGACUCUCUGGUCUGUAACUGACGCUGAUGAGCGAAAGCGUGGGGAGCGAACAGGAUUAGAUACCCUGGUAGUCCACGCCGUAAACGAUGAGUGCUAAGUGUUAGGGGGUUUCCGCCCCUUAGUGCUGCAGCUAACGCAUUAAGCACUCCGCCUGGGGAGUACGGUCGCAAGACUGAAACUCAAAGGAAUUGACGGGGGCCCGCACAAGCGGUGGAGCAUGUGGUUUAAUUCGAAGCAACGCGAAGAACCUUACCAGGUCUUGACAUCCUCUGACAAUCCUAGAGAUAGGACGUCCCCUUCCGGGGCACAGUGACACGUGGUGCAUGGUUGUCGUCACCUCGUGUCUUGAGAUGUUGGGUUAAGUCCCGCAACGAGCGCAACCCUUGAUCUUAUUUGCCAGCAUUCAGUUGGGCACUCUCUGGUGACUGCCGGUGACACACCGGAGGAAAGUGGGGAUGACAUCUAAUCAUCAUGCGCCUUAUGACAUGGGCUACACACGUGCUACACUGUACACAACACAGGGCAGCGAAACCGCGAGGUUAAGCCCAUCUCACAAAUCUGUUCUCACUUCUGAUCGCAGUCUGCGACUCUACUGCAUGAAGCUGGAAUCGCUAGUAAUCGCGGAUCACCAUGCCCGGGGGAAAAACAUUUCCCGGGGCUUGUGCACACCGCCCCGUCACACCACGAAGAGUUUGUGUCACCCCCAAAUCGGUGAGGUAACCUUUUAUGAGCCACUCGCCGAAAGUGGUACAAAUGAUGGUGUGAUAUAAAAGGGGGGGGAAAAAAAAAAAAAAAAAGGGGGUUGUGAGGGGUCUUUUUUUUAAAAUAACCCCCCCCCGGGGGG
rnacentral:rRNA from 1 species